GACGAACCGAGCGAACGUUGUUCGGAAUCACUGGGCUUAAAGGGCGCGUAGGCGGGUGCUCAAGUCCGUGGUGAAAUCCUCCGGCUCAACCGGAGAACUGCCUCGGAUACUGGGUGCCUCGAGGGUGGUAGGGGUAUGCGGAACUAUCGGUGGAGCGGUGAAAUGCGUUGAUAUCGAUAGGAACUCCGGUGGCGAAGGCGGCAUACUGGACCACCUCUGACGCUGAGGCGCGAAAGCCAGGGGGAGCAAGCAGGG
rnacentral:rRNA from 1 species